GUAAUAAGGAAGGUAAACAAAAUGGAUGCUGCUGAACCCUUCAAUGUUCCUGUUAAUCCUGAAGCUCUGGGAAUUCCUGCCGGAGUAGAGGAUGCUGCAUUAUCUGGUGAUGGAAAAGUAGCGAAGGGUGGUCAAGCGAAGCAGAAGUCAAUGAAACGUCAUGAGUAUAGUAUUGAGCAAGAGUAUACUGUUACAGAAAGACAUUAACUGGUGGCUUCCUUGGACCACAGAGGAUCACAGAAAUUGCUGGAGUGGUUGUUUCAUUUGAUCCCAAGCCUAUCCAGGUGAGAAAUGAUC